rnacentral:lncRNA from 1 species
CCACUUACCCGGCUAAUCAGGAUCCAUAUAACGGUAACGGUCUCACAAACCCAUGGUGACCCACUUCAUCCCAAUUCCACACAAACAAGGCACAACAAUAUCACAUCACAAGUAAUCAAGCAAUAUUUAAUAUCAACAAAUAGUGCAUCACAAUAUGGCAAUAAUGCAUGAUAACAUUUAGCCGUGAAUGCAUGAAUGCAGGCGGAUGAGGCGAAUUAUCUAACACUACUCACAGUUCUUUAUUGUCCUUUAAAGGACUAUCUUUAUUACUGCACGCUUCCAGCUUUUGUCU